rnacentral:lncRNA from 1 species
CAAACAAACAAACAAAGUAAAAUAGCAAAGGUGCAAAAGCCUGCCAAGAAUGGAAUGGAUGAGUAAGCUGUGGCAUCUCCUUGCAGUGGUCAGUAUACAGUGACAAGAACGGAUGAUCUACAAUCAUAGAGCAACAUGGAGAAACUUCGCAAACAUAAUGCAGAGCAAAAGACGCCAGACACAAAAGACUGUGUUCCGUAUGACUCCACUCAUGCAAAUGACAAAAAUGGGUAGCACUAGCCUAUGCUGCUGGAAGUCAGGAUGGCGUGUGCGCUGCUGCUGGUGGUGGGCAAACAGCAAGCAGCAGGUGCUCAAUUAAUGUCUGGGGAGAAAAGGAAGUAAGAAAAGGAAGGAAAGAAGGAAUGAGGAUGGCCAGGCGGGGUGGCUCACGCCUGUAAACCAGCACUUUGGGAGGUCGAGGUGGGCAGAUCACGAGG